rnacentral:lncRNA from 1 species
GGUUAUUGGGUUGCUGAACUCCCAUGAACCAAAAAGAAAACACUGAAUGGUAUCCAAACCAGCCUGGAAAGGACAGCGAGAAAAGCCAGAACCAAGGCUGACCAGCCUGAAUGCUGGUAAAUGUUAUCAAGAAUCUGGAGCAGGAGCCUCAGUCUCCUAUCAAAAGGAGAAGAACCUGAAGAAAACACUUCUCUUCCUUCUCUCUGCCUAGGGGCAGUGACCUUGGAUUCAACCACCAUCAUCCCUUCCAGACACCAGAGGGGGGAGUCCCACAAGGCAGAAGGUGCCCCUGUGACCCAUCCACUUCUCUUCCAUGUUCUUUACCUCCUUGCUCAGGAAGCCAUAAAGUUGAGCUGAGUGGAAGGUGAAUUUCAUUGCAAAGUUUACACAGGCUCUGCUGACAGGUUCAUGAAAACACUACUGAAUAUGUUACAUACCACCAAGGCUCACAGCACAUCCUGUGUUGGAAGUGAUACUUUUCCAUUACCAGUAAACCUCCUUUUGUCCUAGGAGCUCACUGAACAGCUAAAAUCAGGUGAUAUUUUUAUGUGGAACAUGCAACGUAUUAAGUCCUUUUGCUCAGUGACCCAAAAAGGAACUAAACGGUACCCAGACUAGAAAUCAAUGUCAAAUUAUUCAAAUAAAUUCCACUUAAAGAAUGGUGGUUUGGAAAGCGCUCAGUCAGAAAGAAUUCUCCCAAGAUUAGUUUACUGUGAAGUAGAAGGGAAGAACGUUUUAACUUUGGUUGGAAAUCUGAUGACAUUACAUAGAAGGUGAUGAAACAUCCUCUAAGAAACGGUUCUGAUCCAUUGUAUGGCACCCCCCUCUCACAUUCCCCCAUUUUACCCACUAAAGAAGUUCUUUUACAAGAGGCUAAGGAAACCAAGCAAUAUAAGAUCUAAUCAAAACUGAGUGCUGGAAAUGUGUGGGGAGAAAUCCAUAAUUAAACUGAGCAAUUAACUCCAGAAAG